rnacentral:rRNA from 1 species
UACAGAGGGUGCGAGCGUUAAUCGGAAUUACUGGGCGUAAAGCGUGCGUAGACGGUUAUGUAAGUCAGGUGUGAAAGCCCCGGGCUCAACCUGGGAAUUGCAUUUGAGACUGCAUAGCUAGGGUGCGGAAGAGGGAAGCGGAAUUUCCGGUGUAGCGGUGAAAUGCGUAGAUAUCGGAAGGAACACCAGUGGCGAAAGCGGCUUCCUGGUCCGGCAUUGACGCUGAGGAGCGAAAGCUAGGGGAGCAAACGGG